rnacentral:rRNA from 1 species
CCUACGGGUGGCUGCAGUCGAGGAUCUUCGGCAAUGGGCGCAAGCCUGACCGAGCGACGCCGCGUGCGCGAUGAAGGCCUUCGGGUUGUAAAGCGCUGUCGAGGGGGAGGAAAGCCCGCAAGGGUCUGACCUAUCCCUGGAGGAAGCACGGGCUAAGUUCGUGCCAGCAGCCGCGGUAAGACGAACCGUGCAAACGUUGUUCGGAUUCACUGGGCUUAAAGGGCGCGUAGGCGGCUGCUCAAGUCCGGGGUGAAAGCUUUCGGCUCAACCGGAAAAGUGCCUUGGAUACUGGGCAGCUCGAGGGAGGUAGGGGCAGGCGGAACUUCCGGUGGAGCGGUGAAAUGCGUUGAUAUCGGAAGGAACGCCGGUGGCGAAAGCGGCCUGCUGGACCUUUCCUGACGCUGAGGCGCGAAAGCCAGGGGAGCAAACGGGAUUAGAUA